UCGGAAUUACUGGGCGUAAAGCGUGCGCAGGCGGUUCGUUGUGUCGGCGGUGAAAGCCCCGGGCUUAACCUGGGAAUGGCCGUUGAAACUGGCGAACUGGAGUGUGGCAGAGGGGGGUGGAAUUCCGCGUGUAGCAGUGAAAUGCGUAGAGAUGCGGAGGAACACCGAUGGCGAAGGCAGCCCCCUGGGCCAAUACUGACGCUCAGGCCCGAAAGCGUGGGGAGCAAACAGG
rnacentral:rRNA from 1 species